AUGUAGUAGUCCCAGAGUUAAUGAUCCCAGGUCAGUUUAUAUUAUACAGGAAGUAUUAUUAAAGAGAUGUAGUAGUCCCAGAGUUAAUGAUCCAAGGUCAGUUUAUAUUAUACAGGAAGUAUUAUUAAAGAGAUGUAGUAGUCCCAGAGUUAAUGAUCCCAGGUCAGUUUAUAUUAUACAGGAAGUAUUAUUAAAGAGAUGGAGUAGUCCCAGAGUUAAUGAUCCCAGGUCAGUUUAUAUUAUACAGGAAGUAUUAUUAAAGAGAUGGAGUAGUCCCAGAGUUAAUGAUCCCAGGUCAGUUUAUAUUAUACAGGAAGUAUUAUUAAAGAGAUGUAGUAGUCCCAGAGUUAAUGAUCCCAGGUCAGUUUAUAUUAUACAGGAAGUAUUAUUAAAGAGAUGGAGUAGUCCCAGAGUUAAUGAUCCCAGGUCAGUUUAUAUUAUACAGGAAGUAUUAUUAAAGAGAUGUAGUAGUCCCAGAGUUAAUGAUCCCAGGUCAGUUUAUAUUAUACAGGAAGUAUUAUUAAAGAGAUGUAGUAGUCCCAGAGUUAAUGAUCCCAGGUCAGUUUAUAUUAUACAGGAAGUAU